UGGCGUGUGCCUGUAAUCCCAGCUACUCUGGAGGCUGAGGCACAAGAAUCACUUGAAUCCAAGUGGAUCACUUAAGGUGAAGAGUUCGAGACCAGCCUGGCCAACAUGGUGAAACCUCGUCUCUAGUAAAAAUACAAAAAUAAGCCAGGCAUGGUGGUGCACGCCUAUAAUCCCAGCUACUCAGGAGGCUGAGACACAAGAAUUGCUUGAACCCGGGAGGCAGAGGUUGCAGUGAGACAAGAUGGCACCAGUGCACUCCAGCCUGGGCGACAGAGCGAGACUCUGUCUCCAAAAAGAAAGAAAAAUAUUGUGGCACUGGGGCAUCAACUUGAUUGAACGUCCAGAGGAUUAUAGUCUGCUGUAUAUGGCCAUCCUUGGUUUUACCAGUUUUUCAGAGCUCAAUCUGGGGAAAAGAAAAAAAAAAUUAUACUUUCCCUAAGAAGUAACUGAUAUCUGGAGCCAACUUUGCAAGAUGGGAAGCACAAAAUGCAAGAGGAAAAUGUUAAACUAAAAAAGCCCCUGGAAGAAAGCCACAGGCUGCAACCCCACCCUAUGGAUGAACAGGAUCAGCUGCUGCUCUCUGAAAAGCCACAGGUGUGUCAGCUAUGCCAGGAAGACGGCAGCCUAACAAAGAAUGUGUGUAAGAACUGCAGCGGAACCUUCUGUGAUGCCUGUUCAACAAAUGAACUGCCUCUUCCUUCAAGUAUCAAGCUUGAGCGAGUUUGCAAUCCCUGUCACAAGCAUCUGAUGAAGCAAUAUUCUACCAGCCCAUCAUAAGACUGGAGGCCAAGACCUGGACCAAAACGUUUAUGCAGGCUCCUCUGUACCUGUGUUUUAGCUGUCAGGAUCUCAUAGAGCCCAGUUCU
rnacentral:sRNA from 1 species